rnacentral:rRNA from 1 species
UACGGAGGAUGCGAGCGUUAUCCGGAUUUAUUGGGUUUAAAGGGUGCGUAGGCGGUUUUAUAAGUUAGAGGUGAAAAUUCGGGGCUCAACUCCGGACGUGCCUCUAAUACUGUAUGACUAGAGAAUAGAUGCGGUAGGCGGAAUGUAUGGUGUAGCGGUGAAAUGCGUAGAUAUUAGGAGGAACACCAGUGGCGGAGGCGGCUUACUGGACGGUAACUGACGCUGAGGCUCGAAAGCGUGGGGAGCAAACAGG